rnacentral:rRNA from 1 species
GAUGAACGCUAGCGGGAGGCCUAACACAUGCAAGCCGAGCGGUAGAGUCUCUUUCGGAGACUUGAGAGCGGCGCACGGGUGCGGAACACGUGUGCAACCUGCCUUUAUCUGGAAGUAUAGCCCACCGAAAGGUGGAUUUAAUACUCCAUAAUAUAUUGAUUGGCAUCAGUUAAUAUUGAAAGCUCCGGCGGAUAAAGAUGGGCACGCGCAAGAUUAGAUAGUUGGUGAGGUAACGGCUCACCAAGUCUGCGAUCUUUAGGGGGCCUGAGAGGGUGAUCCCCCACACUGGUACUGAGACACGGACCAGACUCCUACGGGAGGCAGCAGUGAGGAAUAUUGGACAAUGGGUGCAAGCCUGAUCCAGCCAUCCCGCGUGAAGGAUUAAGGUCCUAUGGAUUGUAAACUUCUUUUCUACAGGGAUAAACCUAUUUACGUGUAAAUAGCUGAAGGUACUGUAGGAAUAAGCACCGGCUAACUCCGUGCCAGCAGCCGCGGUAAUACGGAGGGUGCAAGCGUUAUCCGGAUUUAUUGGGUUUAAAGGGUCCGUAGGCGGAUCUAUAAGUCAGUGGUGAAAGCCGACAGCUUAACUGUCGAACUGCCGUUGAUACUGUAGGUCUUGAGUAAAUUUGAAGUGGCUGGAAUAAGUAGUGUAGCGGUGAAAUGCAUAGAUAUUACUUAGAACACCAAUUGCGAAGGCAGGUCACUAAGAUUUAACUGACGCUGAUGGACGAAAGCGUGGGGAGCGAACAGGAUUAGAUACCCUGGUAGUCCACGCCGUAAACGAUGCUAACUCGUUUUUGGAUUUUCGGAUUCAGAGACCAAGCGAAAGUGAUAAGUUAGCCACCUGGGGAGUACGUUCGCAAGAAUGAAACUCAAAGGAAUUGACGGGGGCCCGCACAAGCGGUGGAUUAUGUGGUUUAAUUCGAUGAUACGCGAGGAACCUUACCAAGACUUAAAUGGGAAAUGACAGAUUUAGAAAUAGAUCCUUCUUCGGACAUUUUUCAAGGUGCUGCAUGGUUGUCGUCAGCUCGUGCCGUGAGGUGUUAGGUUAAGUCCUGCAACGAGCGCAACCCCUGUCACUAGUUGCUAACAUUUAGUUGAGGACUCUAGUGAGACUGCCUACGCAAGUAGAGAGGAAGGUGGGGAUGACGUCAAAUCAUCACGGCCCUUACGUCUUGGGCCACACACGUAAUACAAUGGCCGGUACAGAGGGCAGCUACACAGCGAUGUGAUGCAAAUCUCGAAAGCCGGUCUCAGUUCGGAUUGGAGUCUGCAACUCGACUCUAUGAAGCUGGAAUCGCUAGUAAUCGCGCAUCAGCCAUGGCGCGGUGAAUACGUUCCCGGGCCU